rnacentral:lncRNA from 1 species
AGUAGGCAUGUUCCUUCCCCUCCGUUGGCCUCAAUAACACUGGCUUCACCUGGGGGCGCCUGGGUGGCUCAGUCGGUUGAGGGUCCGACCUCAGCUCAGGUCACGGUCUCGCAGUUCGUGGGUUCGAGCCCCGCGUCGGGCUCUGUGCUAACAAACAGCUCGGAGCCUGGCACUUGCUUCGGAUUCUGUAUCUCUCUCUCUCUCUCUUUCCCCCUUCCCUGCUCAUGCUCUGCCUCUGUGUGUCUCUCAAAAGUAAAUAAAUGUUAAAAAAUUAAAAAAAAAAACUGGCUUCACCUUGAACAUCGCCUCCUCCAGGAAGCCUCCCCUGAUGUUAUAGUCUGGAUUAGAUGCCUCCUUGUGUUCUUCCCCUUCUCCCCCGGGGUCAGCAGGCAUGACCAGACAGCGAAUUCCAUGAAAGUCAAAGACGGAUUUUGUCUAAGUCAUCACUGCUCCACUCUGCCUAGGACAUGACCUUCAGGAGGUGGUUGUGGAAUGAAUAAAUAAAGAGGCAGGUGCCCUCCAGAAUCCUGCUCAGCUCUGGCCUCCUUCGGUUCUUCAUCCCUGGAGCUUUGGGGCAGAAAUCACUUGGAAAAGCUUUGAUGAUCAUCCCAGAACGUCGCCUAACUUUUCCGUGCCUUGGUUUCCUCCCGUGUGAGGGUUGGAAUGCCACACAUCAGUCUGAACCCAACUCUUGAUGGAGCCAAGGCUGAUCUUCUACCGAACACAAGCCCCAGGAAGGCAGUUCAUCCAGUUCACAGCCAGACGCCAAGGGGGGCACGAAGAGCCUGGAAUGCCGGCCCAGCCCUUGAGAAGCUGACAGCUGGUAGGAGUCGCCACGACCCGGAACAAAGCUCUUGGGCCUUGGACCCAUCAAACCUGAUUCCCCAAACUGGCUCCAGUACUCACCAGGUCCUUGUCCUGGGGCCAUGCACUUGGCCUCCCUGAACUCAUGUGCUCGUCUGUGUAAUGGGGCACCUGAUAUCAGCGCCGAGGGCUGUCGGCAGGAUUAAAGGAGAAGCACGCAACUGCUCCAGCACAAUGCCUGACACGCACAAGGGCUCACUUAGUAAGUGGUUGUGAGGAUUAACUUCACCGUUAG